UGAAGUUACUGAGCCUGCCACUUUCACUGUUAAGGAAGAUAACAAUCUUUCACUCAUUGAAUAUGAACUCGUGAAUGUCGUGGAAGAGUGAAUUUUGUGAUCGUAUUCAUUUUCCUGCUGCAACCUGACCAUAAAAUAAAACAAUCAAGCUACAAAAUCACAAGUUUCCGUUGGGGUACUGAAAAUGCUCGCAAAAGUUCAUUAUUAGGGAAUAGAAUUCUGGAGGCCAGUAGUACGAAAGUUGAUUUUCAUCCCUGCAGCCUAUUGGUGGAACCGUUGUUGGGAUCUACAA
rnacentral:misc_RNA from 1 species